AUCCCUUGAAUAUUUAAAAGACAUGUAGAUAUGGAACCUGGGAACACAGUUCAGUGGUGGACUUCGCAGUCCUGGAUCAAGUAGAACUUGAUGAUCUUAAAGGUCUUUUCAAACCUAAACAAUUCUCUGUUUCUGAGCUGUGUAAGCUACACUGCAGAUCAGUUAAAACAUCCACCUCUUUAAUCCAGGAAGCUGGCAUUGGUGAUCUGUGAGGAUAGAAAGCAAGAUGAUAUUGAUGAGGGAGCUGUUCUCAGUUGAUGACUGCUGAAAGCAUCACAUAGUGAACUGCUACAUGAAGAAAAGAAACCUAGCAUAAAAAAAAAUCUUUACUCCUGCAAGAAGAAAAUCCUGUACUUUCCAAGCAUGUCCUCCUGUGAUGCCACCCAUGAAGGCCCAUAUUAUUAUGGGCCUUCUGUAUUUGAUUUGUCUACAUAGCAUUAAAAGA